rnacentral:rRNA from 1 species
AGAGUUUGAUCCUGGCUCAGGACGAACGCUGGCGGCGUGCUUAACACAUGCAAGUCGAACGGAAAGGCCCAGCUUGCUGGGUACUCGAGUGGCGAACGGGUGAGUAACACGUGGGUGAUCUGCCCUGCACUCUGGGAUAAGCCUGGGAAACUGGGUCUAAUACCGGAUAUGACCAACUGUCGCAUGGUGGUUGGUGGAAAGCUUUUGCGGUGUGGGAUGGGCCCGCGGCCUAUCAGCUUGUUGGUGGGGUAAUGGCCUACCAAGGCGACGACGGGUAGCCGACCUGAGAGGGUGAUCGGCCACACUGGGACUGAGACACGGCCCACACUCCUACGGGAGGCAGCAGUGGGGAAUAUUGCACAAUGGGCGCAAGCCUGAUGCAGCGACGCCGCGUGAGGGAUGACGGCCUUCGGGUUGUAAACCUCUUUCACCAGGGACGAAGCGUGAGUGACGGUACCUGAAGAAGAAGCACCGGCCAACUACGUGCCAGCAGCCGCGGUAAUACGUAGGGUGCGAGCGUUGUCCAGAAUUACUGGGCGUAAAGAGCUCGUAGGCGGUUUGUCGCGUCGUCUGUGAAAACCCGGGGCUCAACUUCGGGCUUGCAGGCGAUACGGGCAGACUUGAGUGUUUCAGGAGAGACUGGUACUCCCGGUGGUAGAAGGUGAAAUGCCCAGAUAUCAGAGACACCGGUGGCGAAGGCUGGUUCUUCUUGGGUAGUACUGACGCUGAGGACGAAAGCGUGGGUAGCGACAGAUUAGAUACCCUGGUAGUCAGCAGUAACGUGGGUACUACAGGGGGGUGGUUUCUUCUUUCACGAGAGAAUCGCGUGGAGUACUUACCAUAGUACCGCGUGAGGAGUACGGCGUAGCUACCGAAGGUAUUGACGGUCGUAGCGUACUGGAUAUCAGCACGGAGAC